rnacentral:misc_RNA from 1 species
CAGAGUUGCAAAACUCCCAAACCACUGUGAACUUACCAAUCGUUGCUUCGGCGGGCCGGCUCUACGGCCGCGCGGGUCCCCCCCCCCGGGGGAGCGCCCGCCGGAGGUAUCUAAACCAGACGUUUUUGUAUGGCCUCUCUGAGCAACUGUACCGAAUAAGUCAAAACUUUCAACAACGGAUCUCUUGGUUCUGGCAUCGAUGAAGAACGCAGCGAAAUGCGAUAAGUAAUGUGAAUUGCAGAAUUCAGUGAAUCAUCGAAUCUUUGAACGCACAUUGCGCCCGCCAGCAUUCUGGCAGGCAUGCCUGUUCGAGCGUCAUUUCGACCAUCAAGCCCCCCGGCUUGUGUUGGGGACCUGCGGUUGCCCGCAGGCCCUGAAAACCAGUGGCGGGCCCGACGGCACUCCGAGCGCAGUAGCACCUGUCUCGCUCAGGGCGUGCCGCGGGUUUCUUCCCGGCCGUUAAACAGCGCCUUUCGCAAG